rnacentral:rRNA from 1 species
AACGCCGCGUGAGUGAUGACGGCCUUCGGGUUGUAAAGCUCUGUUAAUCGGGACGAAAGGCCUUCUUGCGAAUAGUGAGAAGGAUUGACGGUACCGGAAUAGAAAGCCACGGCUAACUACGUGCCAGCAGCCGCGGUAAUACGUAGGUGGCAAGCGUUGUCCGGAAUUAUUGGGCGUAAAGCGCGCGCAGGCGGAUCAGUCAGUCUGUCUUAAAAGUUCGGGGCUUAACCCCGUGAUGGGAUGGAAACUGCCAAUCUAGAGUAUCGGAGAGGAAAGUGGAAUUCCUAGUGUAGCGGUGAAAUGCGUAGAUAUUAGGAAGAACACCAGUGGCGAAGGCGACUUUCUGGACGAAAACUGACGCUGAGGCGCGAAAGCCAGGGGAGCGAACGGGAUUAGAUACCCUGGUAGUCCAGGCCGUAAACGAUGGGUACUAGGUGUAGGAGGUAUCGACCCCUUCUGUGCCGGAGUUAACGCAAUAAGCACUCCGCCUGGGGAGUACGACCGCAAGGUUGAAACUCAAAGGAAUUGACGGGGGCCCGCACAAGCGGUGGAGUAUGUGGUUUAAUUCGACGCAACGCGAAGAACCUUACCAGGUCUUGACAUUGAUGGACAGAACUAGAGAUAGUUCCUCUUCUUCGGAAGCCAGAAAACAGGUGGUGCACGGUUGUCGUCAGCUCGUGUCGUGAGAUGUUGGGUUAAGUCCCGCAACGAGCGCAACCCCUAUCUUAUGUUGCCAGCACUUCGGGUGGGAACUCAUGAGAGACUGCCGGUGACAAUGCGGAGGAAGGCGGGGAUGACGUCAAAUCAUCAUGCCCCUUAUGACCUGGGCUACACACGUGCUACAAUGGGAGUUAAUAGACGGAAGCGAGAUCGCGAGAUGGAGCAAACCCGAGAAACACUCUCUCAGUUCGGAUCGUAGGCUGCAACUCGCCUACAUGAAGUCGGAAUCGCUAGUAAUCGCAGGUCAGCAUACUGCGGUGAAUACGUUCCCGGGCCUUGUACACACCGC